AAGAAUGUAAACAACUGUUAUCGGCUGGUGUGGAAUGUAACAGGUGAUUGGGCUUCUGUGAGUGUUUGGAUUUGCUGACCACUCACAGAAAGAGUUUGUCCUUGCUUUCUGCUGGACACAGAACUUUGUUAUUCAUUCUCUUCCAUGCUAUUCUUAGCUUAGUAGCCUCUGCAACUUCUCUCCUUACUCUUUUUAGUAUAGUUAUAAUGUAUUAUAUAUCAUAUAUCAAUAAAUACAGCAUUCUGAUCAUCAACAAGAUUCUCGUCCACUUCUCUCACCCCUGAAGACCUCAUCAGGGCGCUGUAAUAUUCGGUGACCCCUCGUGUCAGAGCAAAAGUUAAUUUGAUAAGACCAGAGGAGCAAAUUGCUGCACUGGGUAAAAUCCUGUAUGUGUAGCAUUUGAUGUUUGCUUUGAAGUGACCACAGAAGUGGAUUCAAGCCAGGAGCUGAAGAACUGAAGAUCCUGAUUUGGACAGAGUUCACAGCCAAGGCUGACCACAAAGAGAACCUGAAAACCCUCCAGGAGAUGUUCGGAAAGAGCAGCAGAACCGUGGAGCGGGCCAGAGCAAGCUGGACUCUUUCAAAAGAGCCUGCGCAGAUGGACUGCUCUCUUUCCCCCAUUUCUCCCCCGCAGGGGGGAUGGGAGUGGACGAGCCUGCCACCGCCGGUCUCUCGGACCCCGUCCCGCUCAGAGAUGGGGGUGGCACCAGCCCCUUCGGCCCCCCCACCGCUUUCACUGGCCUUCCCGCCGCCUCAAGCCGAGACGGUCCCUGUUCAGGAUGGUGUUGAAGACGGUGCCGAACCUGCGGGACCCUCAGAGCAGCCCACGGCCGCUCCUACAUCCAGCGUGAUUCCCUCCCCGGUUCCGGCCCCCCCGCCGCUCGCACCGGCUGCCCCAGCAGGUUCUGCUGUUGUUGGAGACUCUGUCCUCCGUGUCGGCGUCAGAGACUGCCCUGGAACCGGCGGCUUGUUCGAGCUCGGACCAUCCCCGACCGGCUGCCCCUGCAGCGGCCCCGGCGGCUGACCUCCCCUUCCGUGGAGCGGGGAGUGCCCGCCAGCUGACUGUGGGGGCAGUGCGUCUGCCUGCAUUCAAGAUCAGCAUUCUCAGCGGGUUGGGGGGUGGUUUUUCGGGGAUUGUCCCAUGGAGGCUGCCAUCUUGCACCCUAGUGGCAGGGGGUAGGGGCAUCCCGAGAGUUCUGCCUUUGGUCCCCAGCCCAGUGGGGAUGGUGCCAUGGGGCGGAUGGAAGAUACACCUGAUGCAUUUGCAUUGCAGGGGAAGAGGGCACAGAUGGAGGAGACCAUAGCUGGUUUGCUGUGGGAAACAAACAUCUCCAGACCCCAGAUGGGAUUUCUGGGGAAGGCUUCUAUUUCCCUGCUGCUGGCAUGCCUCAGUGGUUUUGGGGAAAGGAAGCAUCUCACUACCCGUGCUGCCAUUGUACUGGCAGCAGAGUGCAGGCCUGUGGGAAUGCAGAGCCUGUUUCGUGGGUUUGGGCCAAGGCCAUCACUUGGCCUCCUGAUGUUUCUGGGGGUUGCGGUUUCUCCUACCAGUCCUGGCCCCCCCUUUGUGGGCCAGUCCUGAGGGCCCUGGUCCAUCAUGGGCCAGGGCCCCCAGGGCUUUUCCUUCUCUGGCACUGCUCUCCUCGGCUGCUGCUCUUUUCCUUUUCGAUUAAAAAAAAAAAUUAAAAAAAUUAAAUAAAAAAGAUUGAAAAUAGCGGGCAGCAGCUCUGAAGCACUGAAGCAUUGAAGGGCCAGAAAAGGACAUUCUAAAAGUUGUUCAAAUUGUUUGAAAUUGUUUGAAAUUGUUGUAAGACUGUCAAUGGUUUGUGAUAACUAUUGAUGGGACUUUUGCAGAAGUCUGUUUCAGGACCAAAAAGGACUCUCCGAUUUGUCCAAGGGAAACAACUUCAGCUCAUGGACUGUUCCUGAAACUCAGCUGCUUGGACUUGAAUUCUCUUUGCAUUGUUUUUUGCAUUUUCUUAGAUUGUAGGAUUGUUUUAGUGAUUUGUUAGUAUUGUAUAUUUUACAGGUGAAGAAAUUUUCUGUUCAUUUCACAUCAGCAUUUUUCUUUUUAAUUUAUACAAUUUAGAAAGGUGAGAUGUCGCAGACAUUUUUUCAUAGAAAUCCUUUCUUCGGGAUUUGUUCAUCUUCUGGGAAGCUGAGGCCCCAGAAGAAGAAUGUAAACAACUGUUAUCGGCUGGUGUGGAAUGUAACAGGUGAUUGGGCUUCUGUGAGUGUUUGGAUUUGCUGACCACUCACAGAAAGAGUUUGUCCUUGCUUUCUGCUGGACACAGAACUUUGUUAUUCAUUCUCUUCCAUGCUAUUCUUAGCUUAGUAGCCUCUGCAACUUCUCUCCUUACUCUUUUUAGUAUAGUUAUAAUGUAUUAUAUAUCAUAUAUCAAUAAAUACAGCAUUCUGAUCAUCAACAAGAUUCUCGUCCACUUCUCUCACCCCUGAAGACCUCAUCAGGGCGCUGUAAUAUUCGGUGACCCCUCGUGUCAGAGCAAAAGUUAAUUUGAUAAGACCAGAGGAGCAAAUUGCUGCACUGGGUAAAAUCCUGUAUGUGUAGCAUUUGAUGUUUGCUUUGAAGUGACCACAGAAGUGGAUUCAAGCCAGGAGCUGAAGAACUGAAGAUCCUGAUUUGGACAGAGUUCACAGCCAAGGCUGACCACAAAGAGAACCUGAAAACCCUCCAGGAGAUGUUCGGAAAGAGCAGCAGAACCGUGGAGCGGGCCAGAGCAAGCUGGACUCUUUCAAAAGAGCCUGCGCAGAUGGACUGCUCUCUUUCCCCCAUUUCUCCCCCGCAGGGGGGAUGGGAGUGGACGAGCCUGCCACCGCCGGUCUCUCGGACCCCGUCCCGCUCAGAGAUGGGGGUGGCACCAGCCCCUUCGGCCCCCCCACCGCUUUCACUGGCCUUCCCGCCGCCUCAAGCCGAGACGGUCCCUGUUCAGGAUGGUGUUGAAGACGGUGCCGAACCUGCGGGACCCUCAGAGCAGCCCACGGCCGCUCCUACAUCCAGCGUGAUUCCCUCCCCGGUU